UGGGGAAUAUUGCGCAAUGGGGGGAACCCUGACGCAGCCAUGCCGCGUGAAUGAAGAAGGCCUUCGGGUUGUAAAGUUCUUUCGGUAUUGAGGAAGGUUGAUGUGUUAAUAGCACAUCAAAUUGACGUUAAAUACAGAAGAAGCACCGGCUAACUCCGUGCCAGCAGCCGCGGUAAUACGGAGGGUGCGAGCGUUAAUUGGAAUAACUGGGCGUAAAGGGCACGCAGACGGUUAUUUAAGUGAGGUGUGAAAGCCCCGGGCUUAACCUGGGAAUUGCAUUUCAGACUGGGUAACUAGAGUACUUUAGGGAGGGGUAGAAUUCCACGUGUAGCGGUGAAAUGCGUAGAGAUGUGGAGGAAUACCGAAGGCGAAGGCAGCCCCUUGGGAAUGUACUGACGCUCAUGUGCGAAAGCGUGGGGAGCAAACAGGAUUAGAUACCCUGGUAGUCCACGCUGUAAACGCUGUCGAUUUGGGGGUUGGGGUUUAACUCUGGCGCCCGUAGCUAACGUGAUAAAUCGACCGCCUGGGGAGUACGGNACGCAAGGUUA
rnacentral:rRNA from 1 species